rnacentral:rRNA from 1 species
AAAUUGAAGAGUUUGAUCAUGGCUCAGAUUGAACGCUGGCGGCAGGCCUAACACAUGCAAGUCGAACGGUAACAGGAAGCAGCUUGCUGCUUUGCUGACGAGUGGCGGACGGGUGAGUAAUGUCUGGGAAACUGCCUGAUGGAGGGGGAUAACUACUGGAAACGGUGGCUAAUACCGCAUAACGUCGCAAGACCAAAGAGGGGGACCUUCGGGCCUCUUGCCAUCAGAUGUGCCCAGAUGGGAUUAGCUAGUUGGUGAGGUAACGGCUCACCAAGGCGACGAUCCCUAGCUGGUCUGAGAGGAUGACCAGCCACACUGGAACUGAGACACGGUCCAGACUCCUACGGGAGGCAGCAGUGGGGAAUAUUGCACAAUGGGCGCAAGCCUGAUGCAGCCAUGCCGCGUGUAUGAAGAAGGCCUUCGGGUUGUAAAGUACUUUCAGCGGGGAGGAAGGUGUUGUGGUUAAUAACCGCAGCAAUUGACGUUACCCGCAGAAGAAGCACCGGCUAACUCCGUGCCAGCAGCCGCGGUAAUACGGAGGGUGCAAGCGUUAAUCGGAAUUACUGGGCGUAAAGCGCACGCAGGCGGUCUGUCAAGUCGGAUGUGAAAUCCCCGGGCUCAACCUGGGAACUGCAUUCGAAACUGGCAGGCUUGAGUCUUGUAGAGGGGGGUAGAAUUCCAGGUGUAGCGGUGAAAUGCGUAGAGAUCUGGAGGAAUACCGGUGGCGAAGGCGGCCCCCUGGACAAAGACUGACGCUCAGGUGCGAAAGCGUGGGGAGCAAACAGGAUUAGAUACCCUGGUAGUCCACGCCGUAAACGAUGUCUACUUGGAGGUUGUGCCCUUGAGGCGUGGCUUCCGGAGCUAACGCGUUAAGUAGACCGCCUGGGGAGUACGGCCGCAAGGUUAAAACUCAAAUGAAUUGACGGGGGCCCGCACAAGCGGUGGAGCAUGUGGUUUAAUUCGAUGCAACGCGAAGAACCUUACCUGGUCUUGACAUCCACAGAACUUUCCAGAGAUGGACUGGUGCCUUCGGGAACUGUGAGACAGGUGCUGCAUGGCUGUCGUCAGCUCGUGUUGUGAAAUGUUGGGUUAAGUCCCGCAACGAGCGCAACCCUUAUCCUUUGUUGCCAGCGGUCAGGCCGGGAACUCAAAGGAGACUGCCAGUGAUAAACUGGAGGAAGGUGGGGAUGACGUCAAGUCAUCAUGGCCCUUACGACCAGGGCUACACACGUGCUACAAUGGCGCAUACAAAGAGAAGCGACCUCGCGAGAGCAAGCGGACCUCAUAAAGUGCGUCGUAGUCCGGAUUGGAGUCUGCAACUCGACUCCAUGAAGUCGGAAUCGCUAGUAAUCGUGGAUCAGAAUGCCACGGUGAAUACGUUCCCGGGCCUUGUACACACCGCCCGUCACACCAUGGGAGUGGGUUGCAAAAGAAGUAGGUAGCUUAACCUUCGGGAGGGCGCUUACCACUUUGUGAUUCAUGACUGGGGUGAAGUCGUAACAAGGUAACCGUAGGGGAACCUGCGGUUGGAUCACCUCCUUACCUUAAAGAA